rnacentral:rRNA from 1 species
UGGAAGUAAAAAGUCGUAACAAGGUCUCCGUUGGUGAACCAGCGGAGGGAUCAUUACUGAGUUUACGCUCUACAACCCUUUGUGAACAUACCUAUAACUGUUGCUUCGGCGGGUAGGGUCUCCGUGACCCUCCCGGCCUCCCGCCCCCGGGCGGGUCGGCGCCCGCCGGAGGAUAACCAAACUCUGAUUUAACGACGUUUCUUCUGAGUGGUACAAGCAAAUAAUCAAAACUUUUAACAACGGAUCUCUUGGUUCUGGCAUCGAUGAAGAACGCAGCGAAAUGCGAUAAGUAAUGUGAAUUGCAGAAUUCAGUGAAUCAUCGAAUCUUUGAACGCACAUUGCGCCCGCCAGCAUUCUGGCGGGCAUGCCUGUUCGAGCGUCAUUUCAACCCUCAAGCUCUGCUUGGUGUUGGGGCCCUACAGCUGAUGUAGGCCCUCAAAGGUAGUGGCGGACCCUCCCGGAGCCUCCUUUGCGUAGUAACUUUACGUCUCGCACUGGGAUCCGGAGGGACUCUUGCCGUAAAACCCCCAAUUUUCCAAAGGUUGACCUCGGAU